UUGACAGGUUUAUGGUCAUACCAGACAUCCUCAAGCAUGCUCCCAUGUUCAAGCGCUUAGAUGCUCGAAUCAAGGUAUAUAAUACUUUAAUUGAUGCAGGGAAAGGGCGGAUCACUGGGUGUUGGCAGAGGUAGAGCUGCAAUGCGAGGAAAAGCUCCGGCUACUGGACGUGGAACUGGAGGAAGAGGAGCUGUACCACCUGUGAGGAGAUGAUCCGUCAACAUAUAAGCUUCGAUUCUGUGACAAAGCCAGCCUCCAACAAGUAGAAGGCUAACUAGAGCGAAAGAUAUGUCCAGAUGCACUAUUAGUUCUGUAGUUUUGGGUCCUACAAAAUUUCCUUAUGAUAUGUUUUUCUCAUUCUCCAUUUCUAGCAAUUGGUGGGACGAGAUAAUGAACAUAACAAGCAGAUCACAGUGACUUAAAUCUGUUAGUCAUGCAUUUGAAUGAGGAGUAUUAUAUCAUUUUCUUCUUUGGGAAAUUAAAAUAGUAUUUUAUUUUUUUGUAGAGAGAACAAUACACAAGUACUAUGUAAGAUUAGCAUGUAUAUGUUGCUUCGUGUGUGUGAUCAUAGUUUAUGAGCCUCCUCGUUCUCUUGCAGUUUCUUUUGUACACCAA